rnacentral:rRNA from 1 species
CUAGGAACGUCCCGACCAUACUCCGAGAACGUCAGAAACUAAGAUCGCGGAAGCGUUUUUUACAAACUGCCACCGACUACGCGAGCAAUGUUCGCUGGUGGACGUCCGUGUUUUUUACUGUGACUAAAGAAGUGCGACCAAGGCAGUCCAUCGACAUGAAUUAGAAAGCAUGGGAUAACAAAGCAGCAGCCUAUGAGCUACCGUUUAGGCUUUUGUUGGUUUUAAAGGUUCGUGGGAGAUUACGGGCGUGUAGGACCGGCGUUGGGGGUUUUCCAAAAUCCCCGCGUCUCCUCCUGGCAUCGGAAACGGUGCUUGCGGGGCCUGCUUCGCUCAGGAAUGAAGGAGGGUUGCUCGGGGGAAAACGUACUUGGGCGUGAGAGGUGAA